AUUAGAUUAAAAACCAAUGCCCUUCGGGGCUCUCUGGUGAUUCAUGAUAACUUCUCGAAUCGCAUGGCCUUGCGCCGGCGAUGGUUCAUUCAAAUUUCUUCCCUAUCAACUUUCGAUGUUUGGGUAUUGGCCAAACAUGGUUGCAACGGGUAACGGAGGGUUAGGGCUCGACCCCGGAGAAGGAGCCUGAGAAACGGCUACUACAUCCAAGGAAGGCAGCAGGCGCGCAAAUUACCCAAUCCCGACUCGGGGAGGUAGUGACAAUAAAUACUGAUACAGGGUUCUUUCGGAUCUUGUAAUUGGAAUGAGUACAAUUUAAAUCCCUUAACGAGGAACAAUUGGAGGGCUAGUCUGGUGCCAGCAGCCGCGGUAAUUCCAGCUCCAAUAGCGUAUAUUAAAGUUGUUGUGGUUAAAAAGCUCGUAGUUGAACCUUGGGCCUGGCUGGCCGGUCCGCCUCACCGCGUGUACUGGUCCGGCCGGGCCUUUCCCUCUGUGGAACCCUAUGCCCUUCACUGGG
rnacentral:rRNA from 1 species